rnacentral:tRNA from 19 species
GCCCAGAUGGCGGAAUUGGUAGACGCGCUAGCUUCAGGUGCUAGUAUCCGUAAGGAUGUGGAGGUUCAAGUCCUCUUCUGGGCACCA